GUUGGGUCACAAACAGGAGAAAAGGAAAGUCGUGCUCCCCAUCUGAUGAUCACCAAGACCCAUGGAUGCUCCUGAAUGCAAGCACAGAUGACGGUCACAACCUUCCUGAAGGGUCCCCUGGCCACUGGUCUUGGCUCUCCUCCGCCCCAUCCUCUGCAGCCACAACAGAACAUUCAAACUGCAAGCCACCCUCUUACCAGCUUGGGCAACUGUGCUUCGCUGCAGAGGACCCCAGAGACUUUCAGACCCCAGAGUUCCCAGAAACGCCUUUGCAGACAAAACCACUAAAGAGCAACAAAGAGACAAGAACAUCACACCUGGUAGGUGAGGUCCAUCUCCAUGGCAGCUGCACAGGUCUCAGAUUGAAGCCUCAGUGGUGGAAGUACAAGAAACUUCAAAGAAGAGCAAAGACAAGACUUCAUGUCAGAACCCCACAGUUCCAAGAAGCUUGAUAACGUCUGCACUGGCUUUUCCCUGACCUCACUCCUCUCCAUCUUCCAAAUUCCUCAAGGCCACAACUUCUCCCCUUUCCUUUACAGCUUUUGUUAUCUGCUGGAUGGCUAUUGAAUCCCCUUUCAGAUUCAGACCUCUUGUUGCCUGCCAUAAUAAAUAAGCCUUGUUCCUCACACUGUACCUGUCCAGAUGCUCUCUCUUCUCUGUCUCUCUAACACAGAUUGGAUCCUCAAAAUGGCAGAUGAUAGAUGGAUAGACAGAGAGUUAAAAGCCGAGCAUGAUGGCUUACAACUGUAAUCCCAGCACUCUGAGAGGCUGAGGCUGGAGGAUAACAAACCCUGCCCCUAGCUUGGGGAAUUUAGCAAUUUAGUAAGACCUUAUCCCAUAAUAAAAUAAAUAGAAAAAUAAAUAAAUAAAAUAAAUAAAACUGUACUAUAUCCCUAACAUGUACCAAUAAACUCAGUUAAAGCUGAAAAAAAUAAAUAAAUAAGGGCUUGGGAUAUAGCUCAGUGUGAAGGCCCUUGGCUCAAUCUCCG
rnacentral:lncRNA from 1 species